CGUUUUUGUUUUUAGUCUGAUUUCGUCUUCGCUGUUGGGGGUUGGAGCUUCAACUUUUUCGCUUGAAACGCGCGGUUAAUUUUGAAUUAUAACCUUUUUUGUGUUCCAACUGAUUUCAUUGUGAUAACAAUUUAAAAUUGUUCUUUUUUCUAUAAGUCGGUAGACCGUCA